UCUGGAACCAGACAAGCCGGAUUCUCAUCAGUUCACAUUAACACUCAGCAGAUUUAAAGGAAAAUUCUGGUUUGAAUAGUUUCAGGAAUCAGUCCAAAAACUGAUUAGAAAGUCUGACUCAAAAGCAUUUAAUAUGGAAACGUCGCGCCGCAUCCUUCGAAGGCAGUGUUCUACAAAGAUCUUGGUUUCUGAGACCGCGGAGGCCGAAUCAACCGCUCCAAAGUGAGCCAGUCUAGCCCAUGGUGCAUUCUGUUGCCUACUAGGUGCCCCUUGUUGCCUAGUAACCUUGACAGCUGCAUGCGUCCAGCUAGCAUAGUGUUCGUACCCUGUAGUUUAGUAACCAUUUUUCCAUACUUAUAAACCCUACUUACUUAUAAUUGCAGAUAUGGAGCCUGAAAUAUCCUUUAUGUUUUUAAAUUUAAAAUUUACCAACCAAUAAAAA